GCGGCGGUAGCUCAGCCUGGUUAGAGCGCUCGGCUCAUAACCGGGAAGUCCCGGGUUCAAAUCCCGGCCGCCGCA
rnacentral:tRNA from 2 species